rnacentral:rRNA from 1 species
GACGAACGCUGGCGGCGUGCCUAAUACAUGCAAGUCGAACGAGAGCGACCGGUGCUUGCACUGGUCAAUCUAGUGGCGAACGGGUGAGUAACACGUGGGUAACCUGCCCAUCAGAGGGGGAUAACAUUCGGAAACGGAUGCUAAAACCGCAUAGGUUCUACAGUCGCAUGACUGAAGAAGGAAAAGAGGCUUCGGCUUCUGCUGAUGGAUGGACCCGCGGUGCAUUAGCUAGUUGGUGAGGUAACGGCUCACCAAGGCCGUGAUGCAUAGCCGACCUGAGAGGGUGAUCGGCCACAUUGGGACUGAGACACGGCCCAAACUCCUACGGGAGGCAGCAGUAGGGAAUCUUCCGCAAUGGACGCAAGUCUGACGGAGCAACGCCGCGUGAGUGAAGAAGGAUUUCGGUUCGUAAAACUCUGUUGUUAGAGAAGAACAGCGCAUAGAGUAACUGUUAUGCGUGUGACGGAUCUAACCAGAAAGCC